GUUAAAUCAUGUUACAGCUGUGUUUGCUUCUCUCUUCCUAGACUGGAAAGCUGUGAAGAAAAUGUUUAUGUAAAACAUCAUUUCCCAUUGUUUCCCCAAAAUCAAUUAUGUGCAAGUGAAACAGAAGAUAUGAGUGGAGGAAAGACUAAACUAUAAUUCCCACAACUACCGGACUGGCACCUAUCCACAUGAGGAAAAAUUCUUCUCUGAACAUUUUCUGGGUUCUCCAGCAACGAGAGAAAUGUGUUUAAGAAGUCAUUCUGGCCUCCUUUAAAACAAAUGCUCUGGUCCUUCAAAGACAACAAACAGGAGGCAGGAGAAAAGACCAGCCAAAUGAUGUGUGCUUUCUGCUAUGCUUGAGACAUAACUCUUUCUUUCGUGCACACACAUUUGCAAAUCACUUCCAACGAAACUUUCAUCAAAUGUGAUUUGGCAUGCCUUUUGUUACUACCAAUCACUGGCUGUGAACUAUGAAGUCUCAUCAUUCUGGCCAAGUGUUUAGCAUAAAAUAACCUUGGAGAGCAUCUGCCGCUGGACUACCUCAGACUGAAUAUGUGCGGUUAUUUAAAAUAGUCAAAAGCUACACUCAGAAGGUAAUUUUUUGUGCAUGGUAGAAUGAAUGAUGGAGUUCUUUUUGCUCUUGGCUACUCUGGGCCUCUUCUGAAUACAGCAAAGGGCUGCUUCAAAAUGAAAACCACAAACGUGUUUGAAUGUAGCAUUAUGCCUAGUUGCUUUCUGAGUGAAAGGCGGCUUUAAAAAGUUAGGUGUAUCAUUGCCAAAAAGAGCUAAAUAGUAUUGUCAGCAUUUUGAGAAGGGAUCAGUUCUUUCCCCAGCCCUCCCUUAAAAUCUCCAUUCUGGACAGCUGUUAGUGACUUACCAAACUUUUCAUAUGGAUAUGUAUGUUAAUGACAGGCAAUGAACUGGAGAUGAAGAGCCCCAAACACAAACCCAACUCUUCAGUGGACAUCAAAAGCCUUCACAAAGGGAGCAGUAAAAGAGGCAACCAUGGUGGAGCCUUCACUUUUGUACACUGAAUUAGUUCUGCAAGCAAUGAAACUGAUCUUUUCUCCUUGCCAGAAAAGUCUGGUGAUUUUUGUGAGUCUCAUUAGCACACGAGGCAUUUGUGAAGAUAAUUGACUGCCGCUGAUACUGCUGGCUGUCACAACAGUGUCAGCGGCAGUGUAUGUGCUUUUUUAAAUAGUUUGUAUUUCCCCACCCCACCCCACUCUCUCAAUCUCUUGCUCAGUGUCUCUCCCCUUUCUUUUAUCUAUUGGUUCUGCAAACAUAUAGUCUGUAUUCCAAAGAUCUCCAGUUUUAAUGUAUGCAUUGAUGGGAAGGAAAAAAUGUUUUUGUGAAUCUAGUUUUCUGGCCAUGUAGUUUCUCUUCCUAGCACUCAGAUUACAGUUCUCUGAAGACACACAUAUAUGUCUUAGUCAGUUUUGUGUGGGAUAGAUGUCUGAAUGGUGAGUGAGAAGGUGUGAGCAGAAGAGCAAACCUCGACAAUGAAAUAAACAAUGCUAAACAAGAAAGCCAUCUCGGAUAUGAUGAAUUGACUAUUUCCCUCUGACUUUCUCCAUCCAGGACCUGAAUAAAGGUGGAAAGGAGUUUUGAAUGCUUUUAUUUUGGAAUCUAAGGGUUGCAUAACCUAUGGGGAGCUGCAAGAAUGACUGGGAACGGGUAUGUCACAGUUUGUUGGAUCAGCACCAGAUUUCUUUUCACUAUAACAUACAAGACUUGCAACCUGGUUUCAAAGAUAUACACACAACGGGCCUUUGUUCUUUUACAAACUAACUGAAGCUUUUGCUUUCACCAAUACAGUCAUGUUGCACUCAUUAGGUUUUUCACUCUUGUGAGUGUAAAUUGAAUUCAAUUUACACUGAAAGGUUCUGCCUACGUACUUAAGAAUCAGUGUGAGAGAAUAAAUUAUGAUCAACAGCAUCUGGCUGUGCUUUUGUUUGGCAAUUGGAGAGUGUGUGUCAGGAUGCUUCAGCAGUUCCUUAAUACUAUCCGAAAUUUAGGAGCUAACAUACUUAGCUGAUUUUUUUACUUUUUAAUUCUUUCAGCAAAUACAUUUUGGGGAGGGGGGAUCUUUACAAAUUACCAAACUGUUAGCUGCACUCGAGAUAAUCAUAUCCAAACUCUACAGCCAGUUUAGUUCCUUUUAGUUCAAUAAUCAGAAUCAUGGAGUCGUGGUGGUGCAAUGAGUUAAACCCUUGUGUCAGCUGAACUGCUGACCUGAAGGCUGGGUUGCUGACCUGAAGGUUGCCAGGUCACAUCCCCGAGACUGGGUGAGCUCCUGUCUGUCAGCUCUAGCUUGCGAGGAUAUGAGAAAAGCCUCCCAGCUAUCACAUCCCCUGGGCAAUAUCUCUGUAGACAGCCAAUUCUCUCACCCCAGAAACAACUUGCAGUGUGUUCUUAAGUCACCUCUGACAUGAUAAAAAAAAUCAGAAUCAUAUUCAACUCAGUUUAGGCACAUUUAAGAUUAAUUUAUAUAGAACUAUAUGUUUAUAUGUAAUUAAACAAGUAUGAAUGGGAGGAUUUUAUCUGUUAACUAUGAGUCAAGUCCUCAAAUGUAGACCAGCAUUUACCUUUGUUAAAGUUGAGUUUCCCUUUAAG